AGUUGCGAUCAUACCAGCACUAAUGCACCGGAUCCCAUAAGAACUACGCAGCCAAGCGCGCUUGGGCGAAAGUAGUACUAGGAUGGGUGACCUCCUAAGAAGUCCUCGUGUUGCACCUU
rfam:Lupinus angustifolius cultivar Tanjil contig_20963, whole genome shotgun sequence.